UUUAAAACACUAUAAAAACACAGUAAAACAAAAUACAAAACAGUCAACAACAGAAAACAAGAAACAGCACAAGUCAAGGGGUGGGAAACGCCAGAACAUAAAGGUGGGUCUUAAGCCUGGAUUUAAAAACAGACGAUGAAGGUGCCUGCCUAAUAGAUAGGGGAAGCUGAUUCCACAGCUUAGGACCAGCAACUGAAAAGGCCCUAUCACCUGUACGUACACAGCGUGAUCGGGGAAUAUAUAAAAGAAGCUUGUCCGCAGACCUCAGUGACCUAAUGGGUGCGUGCAAUUUUAAAAGGUCCGAGAUGUAUGAAGGGGCCUGUCCAUUAAGAGCUUUAAAAACAAACAAUAACAUUUUAAAACGUAUUCUAAACUGGACAGGAAGCCAGUGCAAAGAGGCCAAGACUGGGGUAAUGUGGUCAAACUUUCUAGUGGACGAUAAAAUUCUGGCAGCAGCAUUCUGCACCAUCUGAAGACGGGCAAUUGAGGCGUGGGGGAGACCAUCAUAGAGGGAAUUACAAUAAUCUAAACGUGAGGUGAUGAAAGCAUGAAUAACAGUUUCAAGGUCUUUAAAAGACAAUGCAGAUUUAACCUUGGAAAUCAGUCGUAACUGAUAGAAACUGUUUUUUACCACAGAGUUAAUCUGCUUGACUAACCCAAGGUCUGAGUCAAUAAUGAACCCGAGGUUCCUUACAUGAGAGCUGACACUAGGAAAAAAAUUACUAACCAUGCUACGAAGACUAGCUCUCGAGCCAGCAGGACCAAAAAUUAUAACUUCGGUCUUUUCCUCAUUUAGUUGGAGAAAAUUAUUUGAGAAAAUUAUGAAAGAAGAAAGUUAUGGCUAAUGGUGGAAAGCAUAAAUUACUGUAAAAGGUUCACAAAUUCUUAAAUGUCUAGCUACAGUUGACAGGGGAACAAGGUUUGUGAUAUAAAUUAAUGUAUUUUGAGCCAUUUGAAAUGUGUAUGUAUAGAACGUAUGCUAAUACGGUUUUGUUAAUGUAAGAUAUAGCUAGAAAUACAGAGAAAAUGUACUAAAUGGUAAUUACGGUUUAUUUGUUCUUGUCUAGCUCUUACGUUGGUUGAAUGACACGGACGGAAGGAAUAAAAGUUUGUUUAACCAUCAGUUCUGGCCUUCUCAGUUCGAUUGGAAGCUACAGUAAGAGCUUAACCGCCGCCGUUUUGCUGCACCACGAGGGCUCAAGGUUUCACGGCAACGUUCAGCAAAUGGCAGAAGCUAGUCAGAGAAUACAACAGUCGAAUGUGUAAGUAAAAUAAAGUCAAAAUGGAGGAAUUAGAAGCUGAAAAUCAAACGGACAUUGAGGAUCAGAUUACAAGUUUGCAAGAAGAAUUAAACGUCUUAAAAGACUCGCUUCCAAACGAAAGUAAGAAUAGACAAGACAUAAAGGAUGCAAUCACAAGUAAAGAACAAAUAUUAAGUGAGUUGCUAAACAAGGUCCAUAGCACAUUAGUAAAAUCAAGACGUUCUGAAAGAGUCAAAGCACCAACUGAAAAAAUUGUAACUUAUCAGAAAGAAGUAAAAAGGAAAAAAGGCUAUUAACUCUAUAUGAGCAAUGGAAAGUGCAAGUGCGUGAAAUAAGAGAAAGGCUAAAGUUGGACAUUCCAGAAAAAGAAAUGGCAGAUCUUGCAAACGUACUAGAAGAAAGGAGAAAUGAUCAGUAAAGAGUGAACAGGUGAGCCCAGAGUGCACAUGCAGACAGAUUACGCCGACAUCUUCCCCCAGUGUCAUACAGCUUGCACAAGCUGUACAAGACAGUAUCAGAAUAAAUAGACUUCCCACAUCAGAACCAACAACGUUUGGUGGUCAACCGAUAAAGUUUAUUGAAUGGAAAUCCGUUUUCAUGUCACUUAUUGAACAAAAUGGCAUCUCAUCAGCAGAUAAACUAUACUAUCGUAAAAGGUAUGUGACCGGCCCCGCUCGAAAAUGCCUUGAAGGGACUUUCUUUAGAAAUGAUGAAGAGACAUAUAGAGACGCCUGGGAAAAACUGAACCAAAGGUACGGCCAGCUAUUCGUGAUGCAAAGGGCAUUUAGAGAAAAACUGUCCAAUUGGCCAAAAAUACAAUCUAAAGAUGCGGAUGGACUAAGGAACUUUGCAGACUUUGUAAAUGCAUGCAUGCUUGCGAUACCUCAUGUAAAGGGACUGAAAAUACUCAACGACUGCGAAGAAAAUCAGAAACUGUUGCGCAAACUACCAGACUGGAUGAAUGCGAGAUGGAACAGACUUGUGACAAAGACACAUGAACGGUGGUGAGUUUCCCAGCUUCAGUGAAUUUGCCUCCUUUCUCUCGUUAGAAGCAGAAGUUGCGUGCAACCCAGUCACCUCCAUUCAUGCACUUCAUUCAACUGAAACAAAGGAAAUCAAAAGGAACAAGGCAAGUGUGUUUAACACAAACACAACGGAACAAGGCGACAAACAGUCGAAGACUAAAACAUACAGCGGCUCUUCAUGUAUGUUGUUUCAAGAGACACAUCCACUCAUCAAGUGCCCAACCUUUCUGCAGAUGACCCUAGACAUCAGAAAGAAACAUGUAAAAGACAAUAGACUUUGUUAUGGCUGUUUAAAACAAGGGCAUAAUGCCAAGGACUGCAGACGCCGCCUCACUUGUGAAACUUGCUCGAAAAGACAUCCAACCUGUCUUCACAACGAAAACUAAAGUAGCGGCCUGCAAAGAAAUACACAAGGUCAUGUGAGUACAAACAAUGUAAUCCAAGGUUACUCACCUGAAACAGCAAUAGCCAUGUCACUGAAUGUUGCUAGAGCAGAGCACACAGUCAGUACCUCAAUGAUAGUUCCAGUGUGGGUGUCGACUGCUACUAACCCACAAAAAGAGAAACUAGUCUAUGCGUUACUGGACACUCAGAGUGACACAGUCUUUAUUGAUCAGGAUGUAACACGUGAACUGCAGGCAAAUGUGUGCCCAGUAAAACUCAAACUGACCACAAUGAUGGGAAAAAAUGCAGUCGUAAGCAGCGGAAAAGUGUGUGAUCUUCUUGUGAGAGGUUACAAUUCAGCAACAGUGAUAAGGCUCCCCACUGCUUACACAAAGGAUUAUAUACCUGCAACAGAGGACACAUACCAACACGUGAAACAGCCAAACUGUGGAGUCAUUUGUUACCCAUUGUAGAUGAGGUCCCUCCACUCCUCAAUUGUGAAGUAAGUCUUCUUAUCGGUUAUACUUGUUCCAGAGCGUUAGCACCCAAACAAGUACUCUUAGGCAAAGACAAUGAGCCAUAUGCUAUCCACACUGAUCUAGGAUGGAGCAUAGUUGGUAACUCAAUGCCUUGCAACGAAACAGACACAACAAGUAGUCUCUGUCACAGAGUAACUGUCAAGGAAAUACCUCCAUCCACUCCUACGGAUGCAAUACGUGCUCUAGAAAGGGAUUUCAAAGAGAAUGAAGAAAAUUAUAAAACUGUGUCUCAGGACAAUCUCAUGUUCCUCGAGAAACUAGAGCAAGGCAUGACACAAACUGAGCAUAGACAUUACAAAAUGCCUUUGCCCUUUAAAGAAAGGCCACAAUUGCCAGAUAACAGACAACUUUCUGAGAACCGACUCAAUCAGCUCAAAAGAAAACUCACGCGUGAUGAGAAAUACAAAAAAGACUACGUCACAUACAUGAAUGACAUCAUCGAAAGAGGUGAUGCAGAGGAGACUGAUGAUAAUGGAUCAGCGGGUGAGACAUGGCACAUACCGCACCACGGCAUCUAUCAUCCAAAGAAACCAGAGAGGCUGCGUGUGGUGUUCGAUUGCUCAGCUAAGCACAAAGGUACCUGUCUGAACGAACAUUUACUAAAUGGCCCUGACAUGAUUAACAACUUAACUGGUGUACUUUUACGCUUUCGGCAACAUCAAGUAGCUUUAUUGUGCGAUAUAGAAAAAAAAAAUCACCAGUUCAAAGUCAAUGCAAAUGAUCGCAACUACUUAUGGUAGAAAAACAGUGACGUGAGUAAACCACCACAAGCAUACAGAAUGACAGUACAUCUCUUUGGUGCCGUUUCGUCGCCUGGUUGUGCGAACUAUGGAUUUAAACACUUAGCCAAAGAAUACAGCUUUGAGUAUCCUUUAGGUUCACAGUUCGUCACCAGAGACUUCUAUGUCGACGGCGGAGUAACAAGUGUGGAGACAGUGAAAGAGGCUGUACAACUAGCAAAGGAAGCACGUGAACUAUGUGCAAAGGGUGGAUUGAGAUUACACAAGUUUGUGUCUAACAACAGUGUUGUUCUUAACAGCAUCCCAGCAUCAGACCAUGCAACAGACACCAAAACAAAGGACUUGACGUUUAGUGAGACACAAACAGAAAGAGCACUCGGCAUCUAUUGGAACAUACAAAAAGGAUUGUUUCCCCUUCAACAUCACAGCAAAAGACCAACCCCCAACCAGGCGCAGCAUAUUAUCCACAGUCGCAGCAAUAUACGACCCCUUGGGAUUCGUUGCGCCUUACAUUCUCAAUGGCAAAGGAAUCCUCCAAGAAAUGUGUUGUCAAGGAACGGACUGGGACGACCCGCUACCUGAACAUCUUAGGCCACGGUGGGAGAGCUGGAAAGGAGAUUUGAACAAUUUAAAAAGGUUGCAAAUAAAUAGAUAUUAUGUUCCUGCAACCUUUGGAGAUGUAAUGAAUAAGGAAUUGCAUCACUUUUUCGACGCAAGCACAGCAGGAUAUGGACAAUGUACUUACUUAAGACUGAUCAACAAAAACAAUGACGUGCACUGUAGCUUUGUUAUGGGCAAGGCACGUGUCUCUCCAACAAAGGUCACCACGAUUCCAAGGUUAGAACUGACCGCAGCUACAGUAUCGGUCACAGUAAGCAACAUGCUAAAAGAAGAGCUACUUUAUGACAACGUAGAGGAAUUCUUUUGGACUGAUUCAAAGGUCACUCUGGGGUACAUCAGUAAUGAAGCAAGACGCUUCCACACGUUUGUUGCUAAUAGAGUGCAAAAGAUCCGCAAUAAUACCACAACAAUGGUUUUACGUACCUACCAGUGAAAACCCUGCUGACAUGGCAUCAAGAGGUACAACAGUGAAUUAACUGUUGUCAUCCAAUUGGCUUACAGGCCCCCAGUUCUUGUGGGAAAAGGAGAUAAAUCUUCCUACAAAAGAGACUAUCAAACUUCCAAUAGGAGACCCAGAGGUGAGAAAAGUAUAGACACGAAACACGCAAACUACAGAACAUAAAAGUCUCAGUGACCGCCUCGCCAAGUUUUUAUCCUGGUCCCGCGCAGUCAGUGCGGUAGCACGUCUCAAAAGAUAUUUCCUCAAAGACAAGCAUAAGCAAAGGAAAGGCAUUAUCAAAAAACAACAAAAUGCACAACUUGGAUCUCUUCUUGGAUAAGGACAAUAUGCUUAAGGUGGGAGGAAGGCUGCAACACUCAUCGCUCCCAAACUUACUCAAACAUCCAACAGUUAUCCCAAGAGAACAUCAUAUUACAAGACUAAUAAUUUCACACCGUCAUGAAAAUGUCAAUCAUCAGGGAAAAGGCUUCACAAUGAAUGAAAUACGGUCCAGCGGCUAUUGGAUCCCCAAACUAAGUCAAACAGUAUCAUCCUACAUUCGCCAGUGUGUGUUCUGUCGGAGACUACGGAGACCAGUAGAAGGACAAAGGAUGAGUGCCCUCCCCACAGAAAGAGUUAAACAUUCUCCACCUUUCACAUACUGCGGCAUGGAUGUUUUCGGCCCAUUCCUGACCAAACAAGCAAGAAAAGAAAACAAAAGGUAUGGUCUCCUUUUCACGUGUUUCUAUUCACGAGCUGUACAUGUGGAAAUGUUAGAAGACCUAACUACGGACGCUUUCAUCAAUGGACUAAGAUGCUUCAUUGCUCUGAGAGGCUCUGUUAGACAAAUAAAAUGUAAUCAAGGUACCAACUUUGUAGGUGCUAAAAAUGAACUGAGUGCAUCACUAAGUGAAAUAGACACUGACAAAGUCACAAUCUUUCUUACUGAAAAACAGUGUGAUUUUGUACUUAACACAGCUCAUGCUAGUCACGCAGGUGGAGUAUGGGAACGGCAAAUACGGACUGUGAGAAACGUUCUCAAUGCCACACUUGAUCUCUCAAAGGGACGUCUUACUGAUUCAUCACUUAGAACCUUCCUAUAUGAAGCAGCUGCAAUAGUUAACAGCCGCCCAUUGACAACAGAUAAUCUUAACGAUCCAAACAGUUUAGAACCAUUAACUCCAAAUCACCUCGUCACCAUGAAAACCUCAACGGCUUUGCCGCCUCCAGGACAAUUUGUUAAAGAGGACUUUUAUGCACAGAAACGAUGGCGUCAAGUUCAAUAUUUAGCAGAACAGUUUUGGAGCAGAUGGAAGAAAGAAAAUCUUCAAAACAUUAUGGUUCGACAAAGAUGGCACAUGCCUAAAAGAAACAUGCAAAUAGGUGAAAUAGUAAUGGACAAAGAUGAAACUCAACCACGAUCCUAAUGGAGACUUGGAAGAGUCUUAGUCAUUGUAACAGAUGAAGAUGGUCUGGUGAGAAAAGUCAAAAUCGCCUUUGCAGACAGAAAUCUUAACAAAAAGGGUGAACGUUUGCAUAAAAUGUCUAUAGUAGAACGCCCAGUUCAUAAGUUGGUUGAAGGUUGUUAAAAGUAAAAGGUAUAAAAGUUGAAAUGUAAAAUUGUGAUGUUACGUUUGUGAAAUGUUGAUGUUGAUACAUGUUUACAAGUUUGUUAUGGUUCAGUAACAUUAAGAAAUUAUUUGUGUUUUAUUUUGUGUUUGUAAACAGCAAAUAAUUUCAUGGGAGUGUAAAGGUUAGAUUAGCGCAUAUGCAUGGUACAUGGCUCAUGUACAUGGUUUCUCUGCUUUUAUUGUGAUAACUUCCUGUUUUGAGCGGAAGUAACGGUAUAAGAAACUUUUUGCGUGGAGAAGAAAAGACGAAAGGUUAAGAAAGUUAUGGCUAAUGGUGGAAAGCAUAAAUUACUGUAAAAGGUUCACAAAUUCUUAAAUGUCUAGCUACAGUUGACAGGGGAACAAGGUUUGUGAUAUAAAUUAAUGUAUUUUGAGCAAUUUGAAAUGUGUAUGUAUGGAACAUAUGCUAAUACCGUUUUGUUAAUGUAAGAUAUAGCUAGAAAUACAGAGAAAAUGUACUAAAUGGUAAUUACGGUUUAUUUGUUCUUUUCUAGCUCUUACGUUGGUUGAAUGACACGGACGGAAGGAAUAAAAGUUCAUUUAACUAUCAGUUCUGGCCUUCUCAGUUCGAUUGGAAGCUACAAUGUGUAAUGCGAAAGGAUAACACAAAAAUGUGGACGACGACUUUGCAGCGCAGGACUACCGUCUCCAGCACCGACUGAGUGCGUCAGGCCAGUACAAGGAUGCCUACAUCGGCCGUGACU